GACGAACGCUGGCGGCGUGCUUAACACAUGCAAGUCGAACGGAAAGGCUCCAGCUUGCUGGAGUACUCGAGUGGCGAACGGGUGAGUAACACGUGGGUAAUCUGCCCUGCACUCUGGGAUAAGCCUGGGAAACUGGGUCUAAUACUGGAUAUGACCUUUCUCCUUAUGGGGUUUGGUGGAAAGUUUUUCGGUGUAGGAUGAGCCCGCGGCCUAUCAGCUUGUUGGUGGGGUGAUGGCCUACCAAGGCGACGGCGGGUAGCCGGCCUGAGAGGGUGAUCGGCCACAUUGGGACUGAGAUACGGCCCAGACGCCUACGGGAGGCAGCAGUGGGGAAUAUUGCACAAUGGGCGGAAGCCUGAUGCAGCGACGCCGCGUGAGGGAUGACGGCCUUCGGGUUGUAAACCUCUUUCAGCAGGGACGAAGCGUAAGUGACGGUACCUGCAGAAGAAGCACCGGCUAACUAUGUG
rnacentral:rRNA from 1 species